rnacentral:rRNA from 1 species
UACCAGCACCCCGAGUGGUCGGGACGAUUAUUGGGCCUAAAGCAUCCGUAGCCGGUUCUACAAGUCUUCCGUUAAAUCCACCUGCUUAACAGAUGGGCUGCGGAGGAUACUAUAGAGCUAGGAGGCGGGAGAGGCAAGCGGUACUUAGUGGGUAGGGGUAAAAUCCGUUGAUCCAUUGAAGACCACCAGUGGCGAAGGCGGCUUGCCAGAACGCACUCGACGGUGAGGGAUGGAAAGCUGG